rnacentral:rRNA from 1 species
GUGGGGAAUAUUGGACAAUGGGGGGAACCCUGAUCCAGCCAUGCCGCGUGUGUGAAGAAGGCCUUUUGGUUGUAAAGCACUUUAAGCGAGGAGGAGGCUACCGAGAUUAAUACUCUUGGAUGGUGGACGUUACUCGCAGAAUAAGCACCGGCUAACUCUGUGCCAGCAGCCGCGGUAAUACAGAGGGUGCAAGCGUUAAUCGGAUUUACUGGGCGUAAAGCGCGCGUAGGUGGCCAAUUAAGUCAAAUGUGAAAUCCCCGAGCUUAACUUGGGAAUUGCAUUCGAUACUGGUUGGCUAGAGUAUGGGAGAGGAUGGUAGAAUUCCAGGUGUAGUGGUGAAAUGCGUAGAGAUCUGGAGGAAUACCGAUGGCGAAGGCAGCCAUCUGGCCUAAUACUGACACUGAGGUGCGAAAGCAUGGGGAGCAAACAGGAUUAGAAACCCUUGUAGUCC